UUUCCGUAGGCGAACCUGCGGAAGGAUCAUUAAUGAGUUGUCAUGGGGUUCGAUGCUGGCAGCCAAUUUUUGGAUGCAUGUGCUUGCCCUAACAAUCAUCUUCCAAACACCUGUGCACAUUUUUGAGGGAGUCUUGAGUUGGUUGCCGCUCUUGGGUGAUUUUCUCACAUUCCCUUAAAUCAUUAUACGCUAUUAACAAUGUUGAACGUGCUCUGUGCCGCAAGGCUAUUAAUAUAAUACAACUUUUAACAACGGAUCUCUUGGCUCUC
rnacentral:misc_RNA from 1 species